UACGUAGGGUGCAAGCGUUGCCCGGAUUUAUUGGGCGUAAAGGGCGCGUAGGCGGCUCGGCACGUCCGUUGUGAAAUCGCCCGGCUCAACUGGGCGGGGUCGGCGGAUACGGCCGAGCUAGAGCGAGCUAGGGGGUAAUGGAAUUCCCGGUGUAGUGGUGGAAUGCGUAGAUAUCGGGAGGAACACCAGUGGCGAAGGCGGCUUCCUGGCCUGUUCUUGACGCUGAGGCGCGAAAGCUAGGGGAGCAAACGGG
rnacentral:rRNA from 1 species